rnacentral:misc_RNA from 1 species
GAUGAAGAACGUAGCAAAAUGCGAUAAGUAAUGUGAAUUGCAGAAUUCAGUGAAUCAUCAAAUCUUUGAACGCACAUUGCGCCCGCUGGUAUUCCGGCGGGCAUGCCUGUUCGAGCGUCAUUUCAACCCUCAAGCCCCCGGGUUUGGUGUUGGGGAUCGGCUCUGCCCUUCUGGGCGGUGCCGCCCCCGAAAUACAUUGGCGGUCUCGCUGCAGCCUCCAUUGCGUAGUAGCUAACACCUCGCAACUGGAACGCGGCGCGGCCAUGCCGUAAAACCCCAACUUCUGAAUGUUGACCUCGGAUCAGGUAGGAAUACCCGCUGAACUUAAGCAUAUCAAUAAGCGGAGGA